rnacentral:misc_RNA from 1 species
UUCUCAGCCUUGUUCACAUCACCAUCAUAGUCACUGUUAUCAUCAUCAUCAUCUGAUUGCACGUUCUCAUCCUUGAAUUGCUUGGGUAGCUUGUACUCAUAAUUAUCGACAGGAUCGUACCGACGAUUCUUCCUGGACUCCUCUUCAGGCACCUCUUCCUCGUAUUCAUAGACUUCGUUCCCCUCAUCAAAUACAAUAUCUUCGUCUUCCUCGCCAUCGAAUUGGUCCUUAGGGUUUAUGCGAUCAAGCUCCUUAAGCAGCGCAGCAGGCAAACGAGGACCAGUCUUCCUAUUCUCUCUCUUAUCAACUUUCUUAUUCUUGUUGAUUAAUGAUUUGCUUUUGGUCAUUUUGUUGGCCUUCCCUGUUCUCUGCUUUGUGUCGUCUCUCGCCUUUCUCUUCUUGUCUGCCAUGGCUGUGUAAGAACUGCGAGAUGAAGGAAAAUUUUAUUCUGGAUAGAACAGCAGCUGGUGGAUUGCUU